UACGGGGGGGGCAAGCGUUGUUCGGAAUUACUGGGCUUAAAGGGCGCGUAGGCGGCCUGCUAAGUCGGACGUGAAAUCCCUCGGCUCAACCGAGGAACUGCGUCCGAUACUGGUGGGCUUGAAUCCGGGAGAGGGAUGUGGAAUUCCAGGUGUAGCGGUGAAAUGCGUAGAUAUCUGGAGGAACACCGGUGGCGAAGGCGGCAUCCUGGACCGGUAUUGACGCUGAGGCGCGAAAGCUAGGGGAGCAAACGGG
rnacentral:rRNA from 1 species